CAGAGCAUUACUGUUCUCUUCAAUCAUGGAUCCUCCAUGCAUACAGAAUGCCUGCAAACAGUAAACAUACAUGACCAUGGAGGCAAUUAAUCGAAAUGGCAGCACUCAACAAAUAAAUAGUCUGAGUGACUACACGGAGAAAAGCAGCUCUGGAAAGACAUUUGACUGACAUCAGACUUGUGCAUAAACAGCCUCCAGCUGGAUCUGGCUGAGCCAGACUAAAUUGCAUUUGAUUCAUUGACUUUGCUGCAAUUGGUCUGUAUAACAGUAUGGCAGGGACCCAACAUUACAAUCCUUUUGUUCACGGCACU